UCCCAUGUGGCUCAGUUGGUAGAGCAUGGUGUUUGCAACGCCAUGCUCUACCAUUGUGUUUGCAACGCCAGGGUUGUGGGUUCGAUUCCCACGGGGGAC
rnacentral:tRNA from 1 species